GCAUGGGAAAAACAGAACAUCAGCUGAAUGAAUGUGACAGAGGUGUGGCCUUUAUCAAAAUCAUUCUAGUGAGUAGUCAAGGCACAAAGUUUUCAGAGAAAUGUUUCUUUUCAUUGACAUACAUUUUUGGUCAUUUUUAGUGGGCAUUUCAGUUCCAGUUUUCCUGCACCCUGUGAAAGUUGCCACUGCAAUCCGAGCUGCUCUGUUGAUCCAGCGCUGGAACCGUCAGUACUACGCUGCCCGGCUGGAGAUGAGACGCAGGUGCACGUGGAAUAUCUUCCAGUCUAUUGAAUAUGCAGGAGAACAAGAUCAAAUCAAGGUGCGGUCAUACAGU